GGGCCUCGGGGAGCACAGCGCUUAGCACACUGUCCGCCAUGGCCCAAGCUCCUCUCCUCCUCCUCGUGGGCCUCGUGCUCCUCGCGCUCUGCACAGGUUUCGUGAGUUCUGCGCCCACUCAGCCGCCCUCGGCGUCCGUGGCCCUGGGACAAACAGCCACGCUCACCUGCUCCGGUGUUAGCACUAGCUAUGGUACAAGCUGGUACCAGCAGAAACCCGGCCGGGCCCCUGUGCAGGUGAUAUACAAUAAUAACAACCGACCCUCCGGGAUCCCCGACCGGUUCUCUGGGUCUAAAUCUGGAAGCACGGCCACACUGACCAUCGCCAGAGCCCAGGCCGAGGACGAGGCCGAUUAUUACUGUCAGGAGUAUACUGGCAGUGGCAAUUCUCACAGUGACACAGGUUGAUGGGGAAGUGAGACA